CGAUAGCGAACAAGUACCGAGAGGGAAAGUUGCAAAGUACUUUGAAGAGAGAGUUCAAGAGGACGUGAAACCGAUAGGAUGGAAGCAGAUGAAGUUGACGAACGUGUGUCGUAUUCAAAAUCGCUGUCAGCGGUUUGUUUUUACGGCCGAUGUGGGCCGGCGGCUUUGGUCAAUGCAAUGCGUCUAGCGUCGAUGGUGACCCUGCGGAGGGACAAUCAGUCGGCGUACGGUGCUUGGUAUGGCUAAGGUUUCGCCGGUCUUAAAGUCAGCGCCUCAUCUGACCCGUCUUGAAACACGGACCAAGGAGUGUAGCGUUUGCGCAAGUCUUAGAGUGUAUCGAAACUUUGAGGCGUAACGAAAGUAAAUGCAGUUUAAUCUGCUGACUUGGGAUGCGUUGUCUCUUGUGGACGGCGCUGGACCAAGGUUUUAUCGCGAUCGCUUGCGGUGCGGUGAAAAUAGAGCGUAAACGGUGCGACCCGAAAGAUGGUGAACUAUGCCUGAGCAGGAAGACUGGAG
rnacentral:rRNA from 1 species